GACGAACGCUGGCGGCGUGCUUAACACAUGCAAGUCGAACGGUAAGGCUCCAGCUUGCUGGGGUACACGAGUGGCGAACGGGUGAGUAACACGUGGGUGACCUGCCCUGCACUUCGGGAUAAGCCUGGGAAACUGGGUCUAAUACCGGAUAGGACCGCACCGUGAGGGUGUGGUGGAAAGUUUUUUCGGUGUGGGAUGGGCCCGCGGCCUAUCAGCUUGUUGGUGGGGUAAUGGCCUACCAAGGCGGCGACGGGUAGCCGGCCUGAGAGGGUGGACGGCCACAUUGGGACUGAGACACGGCCCAGACUCCUACGGGAGGCAGCAGUGGGGAAUAUUGCACAAUGGGCGGAAGCCUGAUGCAGCGACGCCGCGUGGGGGAUGACGGCCUUCGGGUUGUAAACUCCUUUCACCAUCGACGAAGGGUUUCUGACGGUAGAUGGAGAAGAAGCACCGGCUAACUACGUGCCAGCAGCCGCGGUAAUACGUAGGGUGCGAGCGUUGUCCGGAAUUACUGGGCGUAAAGAGCUCGUAGGUGGUUUGUCGCGUCGUCUGUGAGAUUCCGGGGCUUAACUCCGGGCGUGCAGGCGAUACGGGCAUAACUUGAGUACUGUAGGGGAGACUGGAAUUCCUGGUGUAGCGGUGAAAUGCGCAGAUAUCAGGGGGAACACCGGUGGCGAAGGCGGGUCUCUGGGCAGUAACUGACGCUGAGGAGCGAAAGCAUGGGGAGCGAACAGGAUUAGAUACCCUGGUAGUCCAUGCCGUAAACGGUGGGCGCUAGGUGUGGGUUUCCUUCCACGGGAUCCGUGCCGUAGCUAACGCAUUAAGCGCCCCGCCUGGGGAGUACGGCCGCAAGGCUAAAACUCAAAGGAAUUGACGGGGGCCCGCACAAGCGGCGGAGCAUGUGGAUUAAUUCGAUGCAACGCGAAGAACCUUACCUGGGCUUGACAUAUACAGGAUCGCGCCAGAGACGGUGUUUCCCUUGUGGCUUGUAUACAGGUGGUGCAUGGUUGUCGUCAGCUCGUGUCGUGAGAUGUUGGGUUAAGUCCCGCAACGAGCGCAACCCUUGUCUUAUGUUGCCAGCACGUUGUGGUGGGGACUCGUAAGAAACUGCCGGGGUUAACUCGGAGGAAGGUGGGGAUGACGUCAAAUCAUCAUGCCCCUUAUGUCCAGGGCUUCACACAUGCUACAAUGGUCGGUACAGUGGGUUGCCAGUCCGUGAGGGCGAGCUAAUCCCGCAAAGCCGGUCUCAGUUCGGAUCGGGGUCUGCAACUCGACCCCGUGAAGUCGGAGUCGCUAGUAAUCGCAGAUCAGCAACGCUGCGGUGAAUACGUUCCCGGGCCU
rnacentral:rRNA from 1 species